UCUCCACUGCAAGGUUACUUUGUUCCUGAUUUCUGUCCUCUACUCCUUGGAAUGAGGUCGCUAUGUGCAGCCCAUGUUGAAGAAGUGGAGAGUUAAGCUCCAACACUUUGAAGGUGUGGUGCCAAGGACUAUUGAAGCUCUCUCACUACCAGCCUAAAGAUAAGGCCAAUACCAAGCACUGUUCGUAUGGAAAAAUGAUAAGCGUGUACCAUGCAAAGAGGAUCAUUAUUCACUUAAUUCUGUAUAACUGAGGUCCAGUGAAAGGGGAAAAGAUAUGCAAGGACUCGUCAUCGUGGUAAGUAGACUGUGUUAACUGUGUUGAUAAUCUUGACUGAAAUGGAAGCAAUGGAAUGGAGACAAGGGGAAGGACGAGAGAUGUAGUUAUUAGGUACCAGUGAUGGGAUUUGUUGACUGGUUGUGGGGAUCGAGAAGGGAGGAAUGUAAAUGACUUAUAGGGCCAACUGGAUUUGUGAUAAUGUCAAUUACUGAGAUAUUAAAAAUAGGAGAGGAAGCCAGUUUAGGAGAUGGGAAGAAGAGUGAGAUUGAUUUCAAACUGAAUAGGAAAGUAUUAACCUAAAUAUUAGCUACUCUUAUGUA